rnacentral:rRNA from 1 species
CCUACGGUGUGCAGCAGUGAGGAAUAUUGGUCAAUGGGCGGAAGCCUGAACCAGCCAAGUAGCGUGCAGGAUGACGGCCCUACGGGUUGUAAACUGCUUUUAUACGGGAAUAACGCGCCUUACGUGUAGGGCUUUGCAUGUACCGUAUGAAUAAGGACCGGCUAAUUCCGUGCCAGCAGCCGCGGUAAUACGGAAGGUCCGGUCGUUAUCCGGAUGUAUUGGGUUUAAAGGGAGCGUAGAGCGCAUGUCAAGCGUGCUGUGAAAUGUCCGGGCUCAACCCGGGCCUUGCAGCGCGAACUGGCGUGCUUGAGUCCGCGGAAAGCAGGCGGAAUUCGUCGUGUAGCGGUGAAAUGCUUAGAUAUGACGAAGAACCCCGAUUGCGAAGGCAGCUUGCUGCAGCGGAACUGACGCUGAUGCUCGAAAGCGCGGGUAUCGAACAGGAUGAGAUACCCCAGUAGUC